rnacentral:miRNA from 1 species
UAGGAGGGAAUAGUAAAAGCAG